rnacentral:rRNA from 1 species
UACGUAGGGUGCGAGCGUUGUCCGGAAUUAUUGGGCGUAAAGAGCUCGUAGGCGGUGUGUCGCGUCGGCCGUGAAAACCUGCAGCUUAACUGUGGGCUUGCGGUCGAUACGGGCAUCACUGGAGUUCGGCAGGGGAGACUGGAAUUCCUGGUGUAGCGGUGAAAUGCGCAGAUAUCAGGAGGGAACACCGGUGGCGAAGGCGGGUCUCUGGGCAAUUCCUG